rnacentral:tRNA from 1 species
GCCCUCAUAGCUCAAUGGAUAGAGCAUCUGCCUUCUAAGCAGAGGAUACAAGUUCGAUUCUUGUUGAGGGUA